GUGGAAUUCUCUGGGCAGUUAGGAGGUAAGACAUGGCAAAAGAAGAAGUGGAAGAAGGAGGAAUCAAGAGGCAAGAAACCAGGAUGGGGACACCUUUCAGGAUAGCUUGGCUUGAGGGAAGCAACAAGGCUGAUGCCCUGGGCAGAAGGAUUCACAGAAUGGAGAAAGAUCUAGAAAUCUUUUUUUGCUAACAGAAGCCAUCAACACAAAUGUGACACCCGAGAACAGCUUACAACUGAUCUGAAGAUCAAAUAAGUUAGCUUUUGCAAAGCACAAAGCAGGCAAGUUGGUUGCUGAAAAUCCCCAGUUUUCUCUUCUCUGUGUAGUACCCUUCCUGAUUUCAGCGACACGGUGCUUUCUCGCUCUGUGCUCCCCAACAAAAUCUACUUUCAGCAAAAUCUGCUAUCAUUCACUCACAGUUUAAUAUGAAUUUAAGUCAAUAUGUCAUCGCCUCCAGGAAUACCUGUGUUUUGAAUGUUAGUCCUAAUUGAGGAAUAAGCGAUGUGUUCCCAAGAUUAAAAGAAUUUUAGAUAUUGAUGAUUCUAAGAGAGAAAUGGACAGAAGCUAGACAGAAAGGAGCCUGACUGCAGUCUCAGAAAUUUAUCUGCUCCAAAGUUGGCCCACAUGAAAACUCUCAAAGGUGUUUUUCAUGACUUACUAUAGUUUCAGGUUAGAUCAUCGGGACAAGUAUUAUUUCUGCUUUUUUCAUUACUCACUUUGUUAUCACUUUAAUCUUGGUUCAGUUGGACAAAUGGGAUUUUGCCAGAGGGUUAAAGAAGGAAUGAGCUGAAUUCCACCCAUGUUCAAGGCCUGUGCUGAGGUCCUCAUUGGUUUUAAUGUGCCAUAUGGCUUGGCACAGUGGCAUUUCUCUCCCUUCGAGAACACCCCUUAGCUUGCGUGGCAUCCAUCAUUUUGCUUGUUGACUUAGUUUCAUUUUCUGUUUUUCUGGUCUGCUCAACUGCCUGUAACAGCAUUAAAUUACUCUUCUGAUCUUUCGGUUUCCCUGAGUUCACAAACUGGAAUUUAUGGAAGUCUUUAAGCCUAAAGGGCUUUCUGAUAAAGGUGGAUGCCAAUAAAAUGAUAAAGGUCGAAGGAAAAUAGUACA
rnacentral:lncRNA from 1 species